rnacentral:rRNA from 1 species
GGUUAAGCGACUAAGCGUACACGGUGGAUGCCCUGGCAGUCAGAGGCGAUGAAGGGCGUGCUAAUCUGCGAUAAGCGCCGGUAAGGUGAUAUGAACCGUUAUAACCGGCGAUACCCGAAUGGGGAAACCCAGUGUGAUUCGUCACACUAUCAUUAACUGAAUCCAUAGGUUAAUGAGGCGAACCGGGGGAACUGAAACAUCUAAGUACCCCGAGGAAAAGAAAUCAACCGAGAUUCCCCCAGUAGCGGCGAGCGAACGGGGAGGAGCCCAGAGCCUGAAUCAGCAUGUGUGUUAGUGGAAGCGUCUGGAAAGGCGCGCGAUACAGGGUGACAGCCCCGUACACAAAAGCGCAUAUGCUGUGAGCUCGAUGAGUAGGGCGGGACACGUGGUAUCCUGUCUGAAUAUGGGGGGACCAUCCUCCAAGGCUAAAUACUCCUGACUGACCGAUAGUGAACCAGUACCGUGAGGGAAAGGCGAAAAGAACCCCGGCGAGGGGAGUGAAAAAGAACCUGAAACCGUGUACGUACAAGCAGUGGGAGCCCCACCACUAAGCCAGUGGUGAACUCCACAUACGCAUCCUUUGCUGAGGAGACGGUUAACGGAGCGAAAGCGACGUUCAACCUCAAAAGAAGCAGAGGGGGCUUAGUGGUGGGGUGACUGCGUACCUUUUGUAUAAUGGGUCAGCGACUUAUAUUCUGUAGCAAGGUUAACCGUAUAGGGGAGCCGGAGGGAAACCGAGUCUUAACCGGGCGUUAAGUUGCAGGGUAUAGACCCGAAACCCGGUGAUCUAGCCAUGGGCAGGUUGAAGGUUGGGUAACACUAACUGGAGGACCGAACCGACUAAUGUUGAAAAAUUAGCGGAUGACCUGUGGCUGGGGGUGAAAGGCCAAUCAAACCGGGAGAUAGCUGGUUCUCCCCGAAAGCUAUUUAGGUAGCGCCUCGUGAAUUCAUCUCCGGGGGUAGAGCACUGUUUCGGCUAGGGGGCCAUCCCGGCUUACCAACCCGAUGCAAACUGCGAAUACCGGAGAAUGUUAUCACGGGAGACA